CCAAGAGUAAAAGUUAGUAUCAUGAUGUCAUUAUGUAAACUUGAGCUGCUUUCAAUAAAAAAUAACAAUUGUAUUCAUGUGUUGUGUAGUAGUCUGGCUGCACCAGACUAUAGUGUAGCAGCCCUGCCUUGCGUGUACUCAUGAGUGUGCUUUUUGCUGAGAGUGCUGUUUUGACUGUUAACUGCUGUUGUUUUCAAUUAGAGAUUGUAAGAAAUCUGCUGUCUGCCAAACAUGUCAUAUGGUUCAGGAGGUACAACUGGUGAUGAUCAUCAGUUAAACCAAUUGAAGGAACAAGUGGAACAGGCUAAAAAUGUUUUGAAAGACAAAAUUGAUACAGUUUGUGCAAGAGGAGAUCAACUAAGCAAUCUGAUGGACAGAGCAGAGAACUUGAAUGAGGAUGCU